CCUCUAUUCUCUUAGGUACUACAGUAGCCCACUUUACAAUGACCCUUCCGGGGUUCAGGCGGGGACUUUCACAUCAGAGUAGAAAGACCGCCUGCGCCCCGCUUUACGCCCAAUAAGUCUGGACAAUGCUUGCCACAUUGAGUAUCAACGAGGUGGCUGGCGCGUCUUGGUCUCCAAUGAGGAAGUAAAAGUCGUAACAAGGUCUCCGUUGGUGAACCAGCGGAGGGAUCAUUACUGAGUUACCGCUCUACAACCCUUUGUGAACAUACCUAACCGUUGCUUCGGCGGGCAGGGGAAGCCUCUCGCGGGCGACCCCUCCCGGCGCCGGCCCCAUCACGGGGGCGGAGCGCCCGCCGGAGGAAACCAAACUCUAUUUACACGACGUCUCUUCUGAGUGGCACAAGCAAAUAAUUAAAACUUUUAACAACGGAUCUCUUGGUUCUGGCAUCGAUGAAGAACGCAGCGAAAUGCGAUAAGUAAUGUGAAUUGCAGAAUUCAGUGAAUCAUCGAAUCUUUGAACGCACAUUGCGCUCGCCAGCAUUCUGGCGAGCAUGCCUGUUCGAGCGUCAUUUCAACCCUCAAGCACCGCUUGGUUUUGGGGCCCCACGGCCGACGUGGGCCCUUAAAGGUAGUGGCGGACCCUCCCGGAGCCUCCUUUGCGUAGUAACUAACGUCUCGCACUGGGAUCCGGAGGGACUCUUGCCGUUAAACCCCCAAAUUUUUUCAGGUGACCUCGGAUCAUGUAGACAGCCAC
rnacentral:rRNA from 1 species